ACCAGUGUCGACAGUUGCAUCACAGGCUGAAGGAUGAUUCUGUACUUCCAGGGAAAAUGUUUGCAGCCAGAGUUCAAGUUAUUGCUUGUCUCUUUAAUUCAGGAAUUGGUCACCGCUUUUUUCAGGCUGAAGCAGACUGUUUCUAAAGAUAAAAUGCAGGAGGUCCCCCCCCCCCGCCGCCCGCCGCCCAGAGAUGAAGGAAUGCGAGAAGUUUGACAUCUCAGCUUUCUUUUUCUAUAAGCCUGGCAUUGAAGAAACAAGGACAGGAAAAGCAAGACAGGCUGAAGGCAACCACUGUAUUGCGUCUUCAUCCACAUGAGCCAACAAAGAAAACAGACCAGAAAGAGCUGGUGGGGAGGACAUGGAAAAGAGCUCCAGCUUCACCUGUGUCUCCAUGGGUUAUAUCUGAACGUGAGUUUAGCACUUUUUCCUGCUGACCUGGUCUGCAGUGAGAACCAGCAGCACGCUGGCUUCAAAGAGGGUCAACCAGUUUUGCAUCUAGCAUCGUGUCUGGUGCCUUUUCCUUGUUUUUAUGGCCACGCCCUUUAGUUCCAAGCAGUCAGAACAAGUGGGAAGAGAAGAUGGUAGAGACAGGCAGGUGCUUGCUGGUGCCAAUGGACCUCCAAGCCUGCAUUUCUCCAAAUUAUGAAGCAGGAGUGGCUGUUACAAGGAGUGACUCUUGUCGUUUCCUCCAUGGCUUCACAUCCAUUCAGCAAUUUAAUUUCAUCACCCACUCCUCUACCAGCUCCCAGCUUGACCCAAAUAUCUGCCAGUGAACAGAUGUCGUCAUGUAAGCUGUUCUAAGCAGCUCUGUUUUGAUGGGAAUUACGUGCAGAAGAGAAUUACAGGGUGAAUGAAAAGGGAGUCUUCUCCUCCUGGAAAAUGGGAGGGAAAUGACCUUGAUGCCUGGCAAAAUCUGAUCUGUGGCUGAAUUGCUACAAAUGCUUUCACUUCUUUUAUAUGUAGCUUUUCUCCAACAAAGCCAGCUUUUAUACAUACCGUUUUCUGGGACACUGUCCUUUUUUAUCACAAGCCAAGGAAGAAAGUUCAAGAUACUGGUUGAUCACCAGCAACAGAUCAAUGCAUGCCGUAUUGACAACCAGACUGAUGUCUUGGCUUCCCUGGACCUGCACAAACACACAUGACUGUUAUUCAGAAGCCAGCCCCACUAAAUUCAAUGGGGACUUACCUCCUGGUAAGGAUGUGUAGGAUCACAGCCAACUUUCCUUUGAUUCCCAUCAAAACUGGUCCUGGGUCCAAGCGAGUGGUCAUACAAUCAGGCUACCUAGUGACUCACGUCAGCCCACCAAGAGGAUUAAGAACACACCAUAACAAUAUAAAGAAGAAAAAUAGUAAACAGCUACACCAGGGGAAUACAAAAACUUAACGUUCUAGUGGAUUCACAAAUUGUCCCAGCCCAGGGUCUGCGGGAAGAGCCAAGGUUUUCUCUUGAAGAUCCCAUGGACAAAUCGCAUUGGUGGCCUUUACCCCCUGACCAGAUUUACUGUUUACAAUAAGUUAUAAUAUGGUUUAUUUACUUUAUGGACUGAUAUAAAUACUUGCAAUCAGUUUCUUGUUUUUCAAGAGCCCAGUGCUCCCUAAGUAGCAUGUAA